rnacentral:rRNA from 1 species
CUAUACGGUGAAACUGCGAAUGGCUCAUUAAAUCAGUUAUCGUUUAUUUGAUAGUACCUUACUACAUGGAUAACCGUGGUAAUUCUAGAGCUAAUACAUGCUAAAAACCUCGACUUCGGAAGGGGUGUAUUUAUUAGAUAAAAAACCAAUGCCCUUCGGGGCUCCUUGGUGAAUCAUAAUAACUUAACGAAUCGCAUGGCCUUGCGCCGGCGAUGGUUCAUUCAAAUUUCUGCCCUAUCAACUUUCGAUGGUAGGAUAGUGGCCUACCAUGGUAUCAACGGGUAACGGGGAAUUAGGGUUCGACUCCGGAGAGGGAGCCUGAGAAACGGCUACCACAUCCAAGGAAGGCAGCAGGCGCGCAAAUUACCCAAUCCCGACACGGGGAGGUAGUGACAAUAAAUACUGAUACAGGGCUCUUUUGGGUCUUGUAAUUGGAAUGAGUACAAUUUAAAUCCCUUAACGAGGAACAAUUGGAGGGCAAGUCUGGUGCCAGCAGCCGCGGUAAUUCCAGCUCCAAUAGCGUAUAUUAAAGUUGUUGCAGUUAAAAAGCUCGUAGUUGAACCUUGGGCCUGGCUGGCCGGUCCGCCUCACCGCGUGUACUGGUCCGGCCGGGCCUUUCCUUCUGGGGAACCUCAUGCCCUUCACUGGGCGUGUUGGGGAACCAGGACUUUUACUUUGAAAAAAUUAGAGUGUUCAAAGCAGGCCUUUGCUCGAAUACAUUAGCAUGGAAUAAUAGAAUAGGACGUGUGGUUCUAUUUUGUUGGUUUCUAGGACCGCCGUAAUGAUUAAUAGGGAUAGUCGGGGGCAUCAGUAUUCAAUCGUCAGAGGUGAAAUUCUUGGAUUGAUUGAAGACUAACUACUGCGAAAGCAUUUGCCAAGGAUGUUUUCAUUAAUCAGUGAACGAAAGUUAGGGGAUCGAAGACGAUCAGAUACCGUCGUAGUCUUAACCAUAAACUAUGCCGACUAGGGAUCGGACGGUGUUAGUAUUUUGACCCGUUCGGCACCUUACGAGAAAUCAAAGUUUUU